GCUGGUGUAAAGGAUGACUUCACUUUUUUCCCCAUCAGAUCGACAGUGUUGAUGUCGUUGAACACUUGCCAGUUAGUUCUGAUGCACCAGC
rfam:Equus caballus chromosome 22, whole genome shotgun sequence.